UACGGAGGAUGCAAGCGUUAUCCGGAAUGAUUGGGCGUAAAGCGUCCGCAGGUGGCUGUGUAAGUCUGCUGUUAAAGAGUGAGGCUCAACCUCAUAAAGGCAGUGGAAACUACAUGGCUAGAGUGCGUUCGGGGCAGAGGGAAUUCCUGGUGUAGCGGUGAAAUGCGUAGAGAUCAGGAAGAACACCGGUGGCGAAAGCGCUCUGCUAGGCCGCAACAGACACUGAGGGACGAAAGCUAGGGGAGCGAAUGGG
rnacentral:rRNA from 1 species